rnacentral:sRNA from 1 species
UUUGAUAUCAAUGUCAUGUAGAGAAUCACGCAUUCCAAGUUUUCAACUAAGAAAAAUACAGAUGGGCUUGUGUCCAUAAUAUUCUUUGGACUUGGAAUUCUUGACACUAUAUCUAUGUUUGUUUUUAAUAUCUAUAUAUACAUUUUUGCAGCCAUUUUAUGAAAUAAAUCUUGUAGUUGGGACUUAUUUACAAUGGUUGCCAUUGGAUUUUAAUAUUUGUUUUUGAUAAUUAGAAGA